CCGCUACCGCCGUCCUCCCGCCUUAGGGGCGGGCCCGGUGCGGUGUGGGGGGGGGGUGGAGAUCCGGGGGGCACCCCCUGCGCCCGCUCUCUCCGCCCCGAGCCCCGCAGCGUGGUGGGGGGGUUGCGGGCGCUCCAGGUGCGUUGAGGCUGCAAGGAGCGCUUCAGGUGGGAGGGAUGUAGGUGCGGGAGGCUGCCGCUGCGCCCUGGCCUCCGUUACCGCAAAGUUGGGCUGGAAGGAGCCUUCAGGUGCCUCUCUCUGGUCCCGGCCCGCUGGUGUGGGCAGAGCUGCGCGGCUCGCUCCGAGCCUCAUCCCGAAGGGUGUGCCCGGUGCCUGCACCGUCCUGCCCGGCCGCGGCUCCUCUCCCCCUGCCGCUGCAGGCAGCGUUGUGCAAACAGGGGUGGUUGCAACCUUGCGCGCCGGUGGCACGCUGCUGUGCACAGUGCGGGAUCCUUCCUAGUGAGGAUCCCAGUGCAGAUCCCUUGACGUCUUAUAUCAUCGCACGGUACUGCGUGAACGUAUUCAUCUUGUGAUUCUGGCAAAUAUUAUUUUUCUCCUUUCUGCUUAAAUAAAUAAAUAAAUAAAAAGGUCAGCCUCUGAUGGAGGCUUGGCCACGUUGCUAUGGCACAGGAUGCUGCAGUGCAUCUUGAUUCUCCAACGUGAUGGCAGUGCUGAGGUUAUUAUCUUCACCCAGUACCCUUUAGAGGUGAUAGAGCUAUCAGAAACAAUCUUAGGUGGUGUCUGAGAACUGUUGUGGUAACUAAACAGGAUAUGUCGACUUUGUUUUUUUUAUGUCCAGCAUAUGGAGCUGUGAAAUUUUAAAACAAAUAAGAAUUUCAUGCCUUGCAUUGUUCUAAAAUUAGAAGCAUUUAAUUCUUUUCCCCUUACCAGAUGACCCCAUUCCAGCUUGGGAAGGCGCACAGCGUGACCCUCUAAAGCUUGCUAGUGGGCCUGCUGAAUUCUGAUUACCCCUCUCCAUUCAUGCUGGGAUGAAGUUCACACUGUUCCCAUUCUUAAAUUUCUCCCUGGGCUUCCUUUAGUUCACCUUGGGCUAUUUCAUUUCACGCUUCUUGAAGCGUGUUGCUUUGUUUAUUUUGAUCUCUUGAUGCUUCAAUUCUUUGUAUAUUUGCAAGACAGAGGAAAAAGACACCUCUAUUAGCAGGUAACUAUUCUUAAUUUUACAAAAGACUUAUCAGUAGAAUUGCAAUGACUGACUUUAGAGGAUCCUUCCUUUAUUUUCUGUUCCCAUACGAUGCAUGGAUGGAGCCCAGGUGUUGAAGGUUUAUUAAUUUGCUUAAUACAGCAAAUUAGUAUUUUCACCCUAUGUAUUUUGCCUGUUGACAGAAUACAAUUUGCUGUAUUAUUCUGCGAUAAAUGGUAUCAACUAGCUGCAGUUGGUCCAUUUAUAGUCUGCGCAAGCUUCCUAUGGGUUUUCCAACUGCCCUGGGUAAUUUGACUACCCAGAAAGUGAGCAGGCUUUCUAAUCCUUCUGAGCAACAGCAGAGGACAUCCAGUUCCAACUGAAUGCCAUCAUCUUGAAUGCUCUGCCAUGUACCGAGUAUAUGUGACAGCACUCACUGUAAGUUGUUGUUGAGCAGAGCAUAAGGGUUAAAUAAAUAAAAAAUAGUGAUUAAAGAAAAAAUAAGUCUGUGGAGUAAGGGAAGAGGAUUAAUAUUUUGGAGCAGGAGUGUAGGUCUUGCCUAUUAAUACUGAACUGCUGCAUACUCUCCAGUCCAAAGGAUGCCUUAAUCACCAGUUGCAUUCUGCUGUGGCAGGAAUGCCUCAACAAACAUCACAGUAAUGGGUAUCAGGAAUACAUUACUCUAUAACCUAUCUUGUUGCACUGUCACAAGUAGGGCUGAAGAUCUUUGGAAGAAUCUACCUUAGACUAUACAGCAUUUUCAGUAUAAUUUGGCAAAAUAUGUUUGAUGAAGGGGAUCUUCUUCAAAAGCAUUGGUACUGACAGUGGCCAAAACAUCUGUCUUUUCUAGAGGAAAAACAAUGAUGUGUAAUAAAGCUAUUUCCAGGUUGCUAAAAUGAGUGUUUCCAACUGUUUUGUGACCUGGAGUGCUCGCUUUUCAUUGCCUAAAUUACUUAACAUAAACUAGUGACUUCUCUUAACAGCAGAUGUACAGGUUAGUUAAUAGGUCAUAGUAGCAGAAUGAGAGGACUAAAUCGGACACGAGCUUUCAGCUGCAGAACUACAGUCCAGAUUUACCAGGGUGACCUUGAAUCACUGCAAAUGGAGCCUCUUAGGAUACUGCAGCUCUGCUGUCAGAUAUUGCUGCUAGAAGUGAGGGUGGAGAAAGAGACAGCAUAGCUAAACAAAGACGACACUGGGGACUCGGUGCUUGUCCCAUUCUCAACAUGUAGCAAAAGGAACUAAAUCAGGUGGUCCCCUCAUGUGAAGAAAGAAUCUAAUUUGAUGUGAGCUGUGAGCCAGGGACAGUAGCAGGAGGAAGUUGGAAGGACUGCAGUCUUUUUGGGGUACUAAAGUACAGCAGGAUGGUGGUGCACAUCUAAGAGGCUCUGAAAGCUGUUAAAAGAGCCACACAUGCCAGCAGUAUGGCAUCUAUCUUCUGGGGGGGGAACACAACAACAACUAAGCUUUGUAUUUGGUCUACUGGUCACCAAAAAUUUAUCUUCUGUGUUUGAGGUGUUGCGUUAAAUGUUGCAACACCCACGCGCUACUGGCUUGUAUUAAGACUUGCAUAGUUUAUAAUGGAAUACUGUUGUUAAGAGUAAGGGAUGAUUUUUUGUUGCUGACGCUUUGAUUCAACAUUUACAAGUUGUUAAUCAUGUUGAUAAAAAUAAAGUGAUAUAUAAAGAA